GUCGUGAUAGCUCAGUGAUUAGAGCAUCGAACGAGAUAUUCGAAGUCGUAGGUUCGACUCCUGCUCACGACA
rnacentral:tRNA from 1 species